rfam:Elstera litoralis strain Dia-1 c108, whole genome shotgun sequence.
GGAGGUUGGCCAUGGGCGAUGCCCUCGCUAACCCGGUCAGGUCCGGAAGGAAGCAGCCGUAACGAGUUUCGUAUCGGGUCGUGCCGCCAGCCUCCCAC